rnacentral:rRNA from 1 species
UACGUAGGCGGUCUGAUAAGUCAGGUGUAAAAGGCAAUGGCUCAACCAUUGUAAGCACUUGAAACUGUCGGACUUGAGUACAGGAGAGGUAAGUGGAAUUCCUAGUGUAGCGGUGAAAUGCGUAGAUAUUAGGAGGAACACCAGUGGCGAAGGCGACUUACUGGACUGUAACUGACGCUGAGGUACGAAAACGUGGGGAGCGAACA